rnacentral:rRNA from 1 species
GUCUGUUGGAAUACAGCGUCAUAGUGGUGAGAGCCCCGUAACUGAUGCGGAUGCCCGGUGCUUUGUGAUACACUUUCGAAGAGUCGAGUUGUUUGGGAAUGCAGCUCAAAUUGGGUGGUAAAUUCCAUCUAAAGCUAAAUAUUGGCGAGAGACCGAUAGCGAACAAGUACCGUGAGGGAAAGAUGAAAAGCACUUUGGAAAGAGAGUUAACAGUACGUGAAAUUGUUGGAAGGGAAACGCUUGAAGUCAGACUUGCUAUUCGGAAUUCAGCCGCAAGGUGUACUUUUCGAUUUGCAGGCCAGCAUCAGUUUUCGGGGGUGGAAAAGGGUUGGAGGAAGGUAGCAAUCUCGGUUGUGUUAUAGCCUCCAGCUGGAUUCAUCUUUGGGGACUGAGGAACGCAGCACGCUUUUUGCAAAGCUCUCGAGCUUUUCGUGCUUAGGAUGCUGGUGGAAUGGCUUUAAACGACCCGUCUUGA